GCGCCGGGGGAGCCGCGGGCCGCAGGGCCCCUCCGCGCGUGGGGUCGCGCACGUCCGCUGCGAGCUGCGGGGGCCACCCCCAGGGGCCACGGGUUCGCGUCCCGGCUCGGCCGGGUGCCGGCGGGUUUGCGGGGGACGAGAAAUAAUGUUCUUGCAUCGUAACAAGAGAGAUUUAUGUCAGAGAAGAAAAAAAAAUGCAUUGGAACACUUGGAGAUCAGAAGAGCUUAACAAGCAGCUUUUGGGAUUGUUUUGGAUCUAGCUCCUGCUGCCUGGGAGCAUAGGAUGUCCUCGAUGACUUCUUGGGAUCUUUUCCAGCUCUAUUUUCUCUACAGAAACCAAAACACAGAUGGAAAAGCAUCAGAGUAUGUGGACCAGUUUGGUCCCUGAGGUCCUGGACCCACAGGUGUAGCCAGCCUUCCCUCUGGGAUACCUGACUUUGGGCACCCAAUGGCAGGCAGCCCCACUGAUGUCAACACUAUGACCAUAGUCACCAGUCCUGCCUGGGGAAUACCUGCGGCUCCAAUGCUGGCUGCCGUGGCGGUGAUGCUGGAGGGAAGAGGAAAGCACAGCUAUCAGCAGAGGGAAGAAAUCAGGUCAGCGGAAACUGCACCUGCAGACCUCCUGCUCCAACCGGCCGUGUUCCUCACCAGAUGAUAAUGGCCACCAGCCUCAUGAUGGCUUCGUUGAGGCAGUUAAAGAACUCCCGCAGGGCCCGUCCCUUCUGCUUCAUG